GACGAACGCUGGCGGCGUGCUUAACACAUGCAAGUCGAACGGUAAGGCCCUUCGGGGUACACGAGUGGCGAACGGGUGAGUAACACGUGGGUGAUCUGCCCUGCACUUCGGGAUAAGCCUGGGAAACUGGGUCUAAUACCGGAUAGGACCACUGCCUGCAUGGGUGGUGGUGGAAAGAUUUUGCGGUGUGGGAUGGGCCUGCGGCCUAUCAGCUUGUUGGUGGGGUGAUGGCCUACCAAGGCGACGACGGGUAGCCGGCCUGAGAGGGUGACCGGCCACACUGGGACUGAGAUACGGCCCAGACUCCUACGGGAGGCAGCAGUGGGGAAUAUUGCACAAUGGGCGCAAGCCUGAUGCAGCGACGCCGCGUGAGGGAUGACGGCCUUCGGGUUGUAAACCUCUUUCAGCACCGACGAAGCGCAAGUGACGGUAGGUGCAGAAGAAGGACCGGCCAACUACGUGCCAGCAGCCGCGGUAA
rnacentral:rRNA from 1 species